CCAAUAGCGUAUAUUAAAGUUGUUGCAGUUAAAAAGCUCGUAGUUGAAUUUCGGGGUUAGUAAGCUGGUCGUGCCACUGGUAUGUACUGGUUUUACUGAUCUCUCCUUCUUGUAGAACCGUAAUGCCAUUAAUUUGGUGUUGCGGGGAAACAGGACUGUUACUUUGAAAAAAUUAGAGUGUUUAAAGCAGGCUAACGCUUGAAUACAUUAGCAUGGAAUAAUGAAAUAGGACGUUCGAUCCUAUUUUGUUGGUUUCUAGGAUUGACGUAAUGAUUAAUAGGGAUAGUUGGGGGCAUUAGUAUUCAAUUGUCAGAGGUGAAAUUCUUGGAUUUAUUGAAGACUAACUACUGCGAAAGCAUUUGCCAAGGAUGUUUUCAUUAAUCAAGAACGAAAGUUAGGGGAUCGAAGACGAUCAGAUACCGUCGUAGUCUUAACCAUAAACUAUGCCGACUAGGGAUCGGAUGAUGUUAAUUUUUUAAUGACUCAUUCGGCGCCUUACG
rnacentral:rRNA from 1 species